ensembl:lncRNA
CCCCACCAUAAAAGAAAGAACACAUCUAAAGGCUUUUCACAUAACCUUCUGGAAUUAUUAUUCAUCCUCAUUUCAUCCAUUCAUCCAUGUGGACUUCUUUCAAAAAAGAGUAGCCUUGCUGAAAAAAUGUCUCUCUGCCUUGUCCCUCUUCUGCCUCACAAUGCCCCUGACUCUGCUGCCUGGCUCCCCAAGCAAAGGCAAGGAAUGUUCAGGUGGUUGUGACAUCCCAGGCAAAAACAGCAGCUUGACUUUGAUGCACCCAUGGCAGCCAACAAAAGCUUUUCCACCGAGAGGGUUCAGGCUUCCAUCCUUUCUCAAACAACAAUCUCUUCACAGCCUUGUGCAUUAUCUUCCCUUCUGAAAAGACUUUUGUGCACGGGGAUGACUCCUGCUGCUCCUGAGAGAUCCUCAUGUCCUGUGACGUGGCAUUGUUGGGCCCUAACAGCACAGAAGAGCUGCAGAUGUGAGCCAGUACCUGCAGCCCUCAGGUGCUCAUCACACAGAGGGGGAGCAGCUCCUACAGGUACUGCAGACUGCCAGCUCAAAACCUGUAGCUCAGAGUCCUCUGCAGAAAACAAAAUACCAGUAAGAACCCAUUUUUUUUUUAACCACACAAAUCCAGAAAAGUAGCAUACAAAGAGAUGUGACCUCCUAAAAUUGGGCAUUGCCCCAUUCUGCCCCAUCACCUCUGAAACAAAUGGGAAAUUUUUUAUGCAAAUAAAAUCAGUGGUUUCAUGCAGACACCUCAAAGCUGCCACUUACAAGCCAAGGGCCUAUUUAGGAAGAAUAUGAGGUUACAUCAUCUAUAGGCAUCAUCUCCCUGCAAUGAGGUCGAGUCAAAGCCACUGAGCAGAACAAGAGGCAAUGAGUGGAAAGGAAGAGAUAGUUUAACAGAGAUGGAAGUUUUCAUAUGAAACACCUCUCUUGUCUAGGAUUCAAUGGAUGGAAAUUCUGGUCCUUUUGCUCUGUUCUUUAAGAAAUCAUUCUCAUACCAACAGGAUUGCUUUUCCUACUGCCACAAUGGUUUUGGCAGUGUGGGUUGACAAAUACAAGCAAUAUUUCACUCAGGCCACAUCCUCCAAAUAAUACUCACGUUCUUAGGGCCAUAAAAAGGUAAUGGGACUGUGCUUGCCAGCCUCAGAUAUAAAUGUAAUGUUAACAAUGAGAGAAAUCAAAAUUACACAUUAGAAGAUGGUGCAGAGCUGGAUUCCUUCCCAGUCGUGCAGAUCUGUACAGCAAUACAACAAGGAGAUUUUUUUUGCCCAACUAACUGGACCAAGAAAGAGCCUGGUCCUCCCCAGGCUGCUAAAUGGUGGCAUCAGGGUCUUAACAGCACAGGUGGUCCCUACCAAGCCAAGUUAUAAUAAUAAGGCCCCACGUUGUGCUGCAUUCUGUGAAUCCUCAAAAGCCAGUGACCAGAGUUUGAAGUUUCCAUGCAAAUAAGACAAACAUCAAUUUACUGUCACACCGGUGCUGAGCAUUUUCAGUACAAGUGUGUUGUUUGAUACUUGCAGCUUCACCUCUAAAUUCCAAUAGAGUGCACAAGGCCUUAGCUGUUCAUGACAAGACCACAUAGCUAAGAACAAAAAUGAAUUAUGAUGAAUAUAACUGCUAGAUACACAUAUUUCAUAUAUAUAUAUAUAUAUAUAUACAUACUAGAUAUACUAGAUAUGCUACUACUAUACUAGUAGACUACUAAAUAUACAUAUAUAGUUGUAUAUAUAUACUAGAUAUACCACUAGAAAAUCAAGAAUUUGGUCAGUAUAUAUACAAGGAAAUGUUCAAAGUACUGCCUGUGUUGUGUGGUUCCCAUGAUCCUAAGGAUGACAAAACACAACAGGGAGGAGGAGCAUAACAGGAUAUUGCAUUUACCUGCAGUGCCUCAUGUGUAGUGAGAGAAGCAAACUUUGUGAUAUCCUCCACGACCCCUGAAAAUGAUCUUAGUAGUGAAACACACCCAGGUCAGAGGUGUGGGGGCUACAGAAACAAAGAAUCCACACCAAGGCAUGUCUGAAUCUGAGAAAGAAGUAGAAAUGCUUGAGAUUUCUGGCAGAUUUGUAGGACGAGCAGAGAUUUCCCCCCCCCAAAAGGUAUUCUCUUUCUGUACAGAACAGCAUGUGGAUGUCAGCAGCAUCUGAGUGUACAAAAUGAAGAAAUUCUUCCUUUUACACUUUGUUUGGAUGCUCCAUCUGCAGCAGUGGAACAGGGAAGAAAUAAAACUGCUGAAUAACAGAGUCCUUAACAUUGCAGGCACUAAUAAUAGGAUUAGAGAGAGAAUAAAAUCAUAUCCUCUUGGAUUUGGAACAUUUGGAGGAAGCCAGCUUGUGACUCACUCUUCCAACAAGUUGAGAUCAGGCAUGUCACCGUGCUGACCUUCUGAAGGAGGAUCAGCCCAGCAGCCAGCACUGCCCAGGUGGUUCCAGCCCAUCCCUCCUGGAGCAGUGUGAGCAGAGGUGAUGCUACAUCACAGGCCCUGAGGCUCUUGCAGCAUGUCAGGCACUGCCAGCAUGCGAGGGAGGGAACUGGGUACGGGGGAGAGCAGAAGAAAUGCACACAAAGUGAGACACCUGCACUGUCUGUGCUCAUGGACACACUUCUGUCAGUGGGGGGAAGCACAGACACUCAGAUUGUCUCACCACUGGGGGAAGAAGGCUUCAAACCAUGAGCAUGGACCCAGGGGUUGCAGAGAAAGGAGACCAAAAAGCUUACACCACCUGAGCCAACAGCCCAGGAAGGAAUUAUAACCUUCCCAGUGCUGAGCGGGUAUCUGCUCAGUGGACACAAAGGUUCCCAUUGCAUCAUCAUGGGUAUCAUUUAGACUAAGAGAACUUACUAAAACCAGUAGAUGCAAGAAGAUGAGAAUUGGCAAAAAAAAGGGUUAUUUCUGUAUCAAGUACGGUUUGGGUACAGAAUUUUAAGGGAACCAAACAGACAGAGCAGUGUCCAGUUUCUAAUAUAAAGAUCCUAUCAUCCCCCACCUCAGUGAGAAAACUUUUCCAUGGUUAAGUGUGUCUUGUUAAGCAGUGAAUCUAGCCAAUCACAACAGAGUGCAAAGGGAAAAAAACCAUAAUAUUGCAAGAGGGAAAAUAACAGAGUAUGAUUAUUGAAUAGAAUAAUAAACAGCAGUGUGCACAUAGGCUCAAAAUAAAAUAAACAGCAUUGUUAAACUAAUGGCAAGGUACAACAUUCUUCUUCAAAUCAUCUUUUGCUUCAGCUUACUACAGAACAGGGUCUGGAAAAAAGCAUCUUCCUUAUUUAAAAAAUACAAUACAAAACAAAACAAAACAAAACCACAAAAACAAAACAAAACAAAAAACAAAACCAACAAAAGCCCACAAAAAACACCCAAACCCUGGCUGCAGCAUUUCCAAAACUGCUGCCUCAACCUGUUGGCAAAUGCCGACUUUAGAACAGCAACUAGUGUAUGUCUUCUUUUGUUCUGAGUUCUGAGAGCCACAGUGGGUGACUAAUGAAUAUUAGGAGCAAGAUUUUAAAAGAUGCUUGGUUAUAUCAUGAGAUAUAAUUUUUUCCCCUUAGAAUGGUGCUAGUGAACAAUAAGUGAGCAUUGAGGGAGCAGCUCUUAACAGCCGUGCACAAAACAAAAGAAAGACUGUGUUCCCAUCUAUUACUAAACUAAUGAAAUAGAAUAGAAAAAGCCAUAAGGCAAAAUGAAAAAAAAUCCCUCCUG